rnacentral:tRNA from 1 species
ACUAUUUUGGCAGAUUAGUGCAAUAAAUUUAGAAUUUAUAUAUGUAAUAUAUUACAAAUAGUA